AAAGGGCUGCAGUAUAUUGACUGUACAAAGGUAGCAUAAUAAAUAGUUUUUUAAUUGAUGACUUGUAUGAAAGAUUGGAUGAAAUAUAAACUGUCUCUUAUUUAAUUAAUUAAUUUAAUUUUUUGAUUAAAAAGUCAAAAUUUAUUUAAAAGACGAGAAGACCCUAUAGAGUUUUAUAUUAAUAUAUAAUAAAAUUAUUUUUUAGAUUAUUAAUUAAAUUAUUUAAUAUAUUUUAUUGGGGUGAUAAAAAAAUAAAAUUAACUUUUUUUAAUAUUAUUUCAUAGAUAAGUGAGUAAUUGAUCCAAAAUUUUUGAUUAUAAGAAAAAAUUACCUUAGGGAUAACAGCGUAAUUUUUUUUUUUAGUUCAAAUAAGAAAAAGAGUUUGCGACCUCGAUGUUGGAUUAAGAUAAAAUUUAUAUGCAAAAGUAUAAAA
rnacentral:rRNA from 1 species